rnacentral:rRNA from 1 species
GAUGAACGCUAGCGGCAGGCUUAACACAUGCAAGUCGAGGGGUAUAUCACUUCGGUGAUAGAGACCGGCGCACGGGUGCGUAACGCGUAUGCAAUCUACCUUUUACAGGGGAAUAGCCCAGAGAAAUUUGGAUUAAUGCCCCAUAGUAUAUUUGAAUGGCAUCAUUUGAUUAUUAAAGUCACAACGGUAAAAGAUGAGCAUGCGUCCCAUUAGUUAGUUGGUAAGGUAACGGCUUACCAAGACGAUGAUGGGUAGGGGUCCUGAGAGGGGGAUCCCCCACACUGGUACUGCGAGCCGGACCAGACUCCUACGGGAGGCAGCAGUGAGGAAUAUUGGUCAAUGGGCGCAAGCCUGAACCAGCCAUGCCGCGUGCAGGAUGACGGUCCUAUGGAUUGUAAACUGCUUUUAUACGGGAAGAAACACCGAUUCGUGAAUCGGCUUGACGGUACCGUAAGAAUAAGGAUCGGCUAACUCCGUGCCAGCAGCCGCGGUAAUAC